rnacentral:rRNA from 1 species
UACGGGGGGUGCGAGCGUUGAUCGGAAUAACUGGGCGUAAAGGGUACGCAGGCGGACUUUUAAGUGAGGUGUGAAAUCACCGGGCUUAACCUGGGAAUUGCAGUUCAUACUGGGAGUCUAGAGUACUUUAGGGAUGGGUAGAAUUCCACGUGUAGCGGUGAAAUGCGUAGAGAUGUGGAGGAAUACCGAAGGCGAAGGCAGCCCCUUGGGAAUGUACUGACGCUCAUGUGCGAAAGCGUGGGGAGCAAACAGG